AAAUUGAAGAGUUUGAUCAUGGCUCAGAUUGAACGCUGGCGGCAGGCCUAACACAUGCAAGUCGAGCGGUAGCACAGAGAGCUUGCUCUCGGGUGACGAGCGGCGGACGGGUGAGUAAUGUCUGGGAAACUGCCUGAUGGAGGGGGAUAACUACUGGAAACGGUAGCUAAUACCGCAUAANGUCGCAAGACCAAAGUGGGGGACCUUCGGGCCUCAUGCCAUCAGAUGUGCCCAGAUGGGAUUAGCUAGUAGGUGGGGUAACGGCUCACCUAGGCGACGAUCCCUAGCUGGUCUGAGAGGAUGACCAGCCACACUGGAACUGAGACACGGUCCAGACUCCUACGGGAGGCAGCAGUGGGGAAUAUUGCACAAUGGGCGCAAGCCUGAUGCAGCCAUGCCGCGUGUGUGAAGAAGGCCUUCGGGUUGUAAAGCACUUUCAGCGGGGAGGAAGGCGNUNAGGUUAAUAACCUNNNCGAUUGACGUUACCCGCAGAAGAAGCACCGGCUAACUCCGUGCCAGCAGCCGCGGUAAUACGGAGGGUGCAAGCGUUAAUCGGAAUUACUGGGCGUAAAGCGCACGCAGGCGGUCUGUCAAGUCGGAUGUGAAAUCCCCGGGCUNAACCUGGGAACUGCAUUCGAAACUGGCAGGCUAGAGUCUUGUAGAGGGGGGUAGAAUUCCAGGUGUAGCGGUGAAAUGCGUAGAGAUCUGGAGGAAUACCGGUG
rnacentral:rRNA from 1 species